ACUCAGCCACCGAAACCCCAACCCAGCUACCCUCUCCUCAGUGCCGUUUCACCUCAGCAAACCACACAUGCCACAGUUCCUUUCACCCAUGAAAGAAAGAAGAAAGAAACAAAGAAGGGCUGGCGCCGCCGUGCACCUUGCCGCGCCUCCUACCACUGCCGCCCCACUAAUCCGCGAACCAGUCACGCCUUGCCGCCAGCUGCUCCUCACUGCCGCCCGCCUUGCCGCCUCGCCAGCCACCCACGCCAGAGGACGAAAGAGAGAGAUCGGACAGAGAGAGAGAUGCGAAGGGGGAGGAGGAGUCGCGCUGCUGCUGCGGUCCCUGCAGUCGUCGCCGAGGGAAACCAGCGCCACCACCGCGUCGCCAUUUCUGAGCCUCUGUGUCGCCGUCAAGCCACGUCGAAGGGGGAGCGCCGUUGUGUCUCCAUCGCCACUGAAGACGCCGGUUGUUGCUGCUGCUGGUGAGGGGGAAAACAAGAUGAAUCUCCUCCAUUUCUGAUGUUCUGGUCACUGCUGCUGAGAGGCCGUCGCUGUUGCCUCUAUUUCCACCGUAGAUACCCUCCGUGCUGCCACUAGAAGGUUGCUGGAAAUAGUUAGAACUGCCGUUCUGAUUCUGCUUUGUUCGGUUGAUGUCUUGGUCGCCAUACCAGCGCCGCUGCCGUUGUUAGUGUUGCCGGGAAGAGGAACCCGAUCGGGAGAGAGAAAACGGGGAGGUUGUCACUGCGAGUGUUACUGUCGGAGGAGGAGGGAACCGCGCCGCCGUGCCUGGCUGCCGGAAAGCCUUGCUGCCGUCGCCGAAAAAUUUUGCCGAAAUUUGGGCCGCCGCCGUAGCUCGGAAUUUAUUAACAGAGCCACUGCCGAGUCGAUUUAGUGUUGCGGCUGCUUCGUUUUAUUAAUUCAAGUUGUUGAGAUUGUUGAGCAAGCAAGUGGAGCCGAGUUGUUGGCUGUAGUUGGUUUUGUGUUGAGGCGGAAAUGACUCUGUGAGGUGUUUGGGUUGUGGUUUCGCGUGUCGAGGAUAUGGGCGCAGAAGUCACGAAGAGUUUAUUUAGUUAUUGUUGUGAUGCUCUGUAUUGUCUUAGUUAUGGUUUAUUGUACCCUCGCCUUUAUCUUGAUAUAUUCUGUAAGAGGGUUAGGCAUUGUAAUUGGAUAAUGCUUAUAUAUAUGUAUAUGGAUGCACUCUUUAUGAGUUUUGUAAGUUGUAUGAUAUCUAUGGAUGUAUGUUAUCGGACGAAAGUAUUUUUGGGAGCGGUUCCGCAGUUUAAAGUUUUAAACAGGUUUAUAUUUUAGUGUUAAAUAGCAUAAGUGUCGUCGUAAUGUCCGAGCUAUCAGAGUCGCGCAGCCGGAAGCGUGAGCUUUGGUAGUUAAGGUGUUAUAUUAAAUAAUUGUUGUAAGACCCCUACUUUUCGAAAAUUUAAUAAUAAGUUAUUUUACAAUUUAUUCCAUUUAUUCAAGAUUAUAUUUUUUUAGAGAAUUUUAUAAUAAUCAGAUUUUUUUUAUUAUUGA